CUCCCCCCCCCCCCUUCUGUUUUUGUUUUCUUACAUAUUCAUUUUCAAAAGCGAUAGAGCGAGAUGUUGACACUGAUCUUUGCGCGCGUCACGUCACACAUUCGUUCGGUAACUGAUGUUUUUCGAAUUUUCCGAAAUGAUUCGUGAAAAUGGAACUCUGAAAGAUGGCUUAUACGGAUUUUCAUUUGGAACAAUUUCCGCCUCGCCCGUCUCGAAAUUCAACGAUAGGCUUGCUCAUCGAUCGCCACUGGCUUUGGCGAGAAGAUUGAUAGACUGUAAGGCUCGACGGUAUUGCCCUUAAUCUUACCAAUCUCUCAAAAUUAAUACGAUGGGCUUGCUCGUGUUAAUUGACGGAAUAUAUUUCGAUUCGAACAGCUGCGAUCUUCGGCUCCUGGUCGGUUUUUUUUGCAAUCUUUUUCAACAACGCUCGAUCACUCGUGGAUUUUUGGGGCCUAGAUAUUCAUCGUAAAGCGUUCGAAAAGGACCCGAAAGUUCUCGACCUUCGUUGCUAUUGCAGCUAUACGUACGUAUAACACGUUCAGCAGAAGUCGUAAAAUUUUCACCAAAAUUAUGAAGAAAACGCUGCCUGUCCCCAGGAAGUUGUCGGUGUGAUUUAGUCGACGGAAAUAUCCUAGUUCGAUUCUCGAGCAAUAAUCUCAUCAUAAAAGUCUCGACCUGACGGUAAAAAGAAACCAAAAAAAAAGGGAGGAGAAGAGAAAAGAUCGUGACGCAGAGGGGAAAACGGAGGGAGAAAAAUCCAAAUGAGAAAUAAUCGCAGAUGCAGGGCGAAAGAAGUAUAAGGGCGAGAGCGAGGGCGACGAGGGGAGCGAGGGCGAUGGUAAGGGUGUACGAACGCUUCGAAAUACUCGCGCCCCAACGACUAAUGGAAAUAAGUUUUUCACCCCUCUGGCAACUCUCCGGGCUUUCCAGGGGCGCCUCCUCGAAGUAGAGGAGACAAAUUUGUGCCAUGCUUUUCACCGAAUUAGAAGAUAAAUAUUACUGACUUACCUCACCCAAGCUUAAUUCACGUAUAGGUAUUAUACAGUUCAAAGCUCGAUAUCUGCCUCUUUAUAAGGGGGGAAAGGAGAUUAGGAUCAAGGAUGUUCAUCUCCAGAUGAACGCCUUUAUACCAAGAAUGAACGAGACUCUCGGAACACCUUUUCGUAUAUAUAUUUUUACGGUAUUAUACGAACAAAGUGGUAUUUAACGUGUUUAGAAGUGUGAAAGACCGUCGGUUCGGGUGAUAGAAAAAAAAAAAAAAAGGAAAAGCAAAAUACAUGGAAAAAAGAAAACCCAAUCCCCUGAAACUGUGAAAUCGAGACGUUCCGCAUUAGUUAAAAAACUUACUACCACAAAAAAACCAAGCUUAUUUCGAUUACGUGGUCGUCCAGGCGUGGAUAUUGGAUAAGUAAUAUAACCUUACUGAAGGGCCAAAGUGGGCGAGUCAUACCUCGGAAGGAGACGACGACCGACACUCGAUGAAAUAAACUUCUUCAAAACCCUCGAGUGAAGAAAAAUAAAUAAAUAUAUAAAGCCGUCAUCCUGACGGUAACUUUUUCCGCACCCUUUUUCUCAAGCGCUCAUCCACAACGCAACGGAAAGAAAGUUUUUAAAUUAUUAUCAAGUAAAAUUUUAUUUAUUCAAAAAUAAGUUUGUCAUCGACAACGAUUUGAUAAACGCGCUCAACCCUUUCGACCUUUAGAGUAAUUGGCGGUUCCUUUCUGAUCCACCCUGUAUCAUGUGGUGAAUACAUAACUCAUUCGAAUUGAAGUUAUCAAAUUUCGUCUAGAGGCCGAAAUUGUUGGACAUAUCGUAACAUAGUAAAUACCUAGUUGUGUAGAUCAACAGCAGGCAUGAAAAGGGAAAUCGAGAUGAGUUGAAAUUUUAGGGUUUCGCUUGGGUGACGGAGGAAAAGCAUCGUUUACCCAAGAAUUUCGAUUCAUUUUAUGAGCGCUUUGUGUACCCUUCACAUACAGGUAUUAAAGUAUACAUAUGUAAUAUAUACAAUUUCAUAUAAAUCUAUGUACAUAUAUUUUAUAUGUAUUUUCUCACCCCACCGUCAGCUCGGGGGUGAGGAAAUGCUGGGUAUAGAGAAGGAAGGUAUAAAACAAAUGGGACACGACCUCCCCCUCGUGUUGGUGAAACAUGACAAUAAUACGAUAUGAGGCUACAAGCCACAGAAUAUAGCAUAACCCGGCUGAACCACCAGCCCUUGGUGCAGUUCACAGUGAGAAAGAGCGAGAGAAUAAACGCGCGGUUAAACAGAGAAGGAAAUAAUAGGGUCUCGGGUAUUAUUGUGGGCUCAGGGUUGUAGAUUGUAGCCACUAGCGAAGGGUAUAAACGAGCGCCAGCUUGAGCCAAUUUGAACCUCAUUUCUCGUUAUUGACUUUGCCUUUUUUUCCUUCCUUCCUUUCUUCCUACCUUUCUUCCAUCAUCUACGCUUUCCCCGCCACCCAGGACUACCACAGGUCAGAGUUUCAUCGCUCCCGGUAAUCCCUUCGACCGGGUUGAAGCGGA
rnacentral:misc_RNA from 1 species